rnacentral:rRNA from 1 species
AUUGAACGCUGGCGGCAGGCCUAACACAUGCAAGUCGAGCGGAUGAGUGGAGCUUGCUCCAUGAUUCAGCGGCGGACGGGUGAGUAAUGCCUAGGAAUCUGCCUGGUAGUGGGGGACAACGUUUCGAAAGGAACGCUAAUACCGCAUACGUCCUACGGGAGAAAGCAGGGGACCUUCGGGCCUUGCGCUAUCAGAUGAGCCUAGGUCGGAUUAGCUAGUAGGUGAGGUAAUGGCUCACCUAGGCGACGAUCCGUAACUGGUCUGAGAGGAUGAUCAGGCACACUGGAACUGAGACACGGUCCAGACUCCUACGGGAGGCAGCAGUGGGGAAUAUUGGACAAUGGGCGAAAGCCUGAUCCAGCCAUGCCGCGUGUGUGAAGAAGGUCUUCGGAUUGUAAAGCACUUUAAGUUGGGAGGAAGGGUUGUAGAUUAAUACUCUGCAAUUUUGACGUUACCGACAGAAUAAGCACCGGCUAACUCUGUGCCAGCCGCCGCCGUAAAAC